AUGUACGUUCCUUUCUUUCCUUCUUGCGUUCACGCUGGAGACGGAAGUUCUCCCUUUUCCUUGCUCUGUAACUAUUUGGGUUCUCAGGCUGCUCAAUACAUGGAUAGACACUAAUCUUUUUCCUGUCUGGUCCAAACUUCUCAAAUUUGACUAGCCCAUCUAUCAAAGAGAAGAUGGUGUGGUCCUUACCAAGUCCAACAUUCUUCCCGGGAUGGAACUUGGUG
rnacentral:misc_RNA from 1 species